rnacentral:rRNA from 1 species
AGUGAACGCUGGCGGUAGGCCUAACACAUGCAAGUCGAACGGCAGCACAGUAAGAGCUUGCUCUUACGGGUGGCGAGUGGCGGACGGGUGAGGAAUACAUCGGAAUCUACUUUUUCGUGGGGGAUAACGUAGGGAAACUUACGCUAAUACCGCAUACGACCUACGGGUGAAAGCAGGGGAUCUUCGGACCUUGCGCGAUUGAAUGAGCCGAUGUCGGAUUAGCUAGUUGGCGGGGUAAAGGCCCACCAAGGCGACGCUCCGUAGCUGGUCUGAGAGGAUGAUCAGCCACACUGGAACUGAGACAAGGUCCAGACUCCUAAGGGAGGCAGCAGUGGGGAAUAUUGGACAAUGGGCGAAAGCCUGAUCCAGCCAAACCGCGUGGGUGAAGAAGGCCUUCGGGUUGUAAAGCCCUUUUGUUGGGAAAGAAAAGCAGCAGGUUAAUACCCCGCUGUUCUGACGGUACCCAAAGAAUAAGCACCGGCUAACUUCGUG